rnacentral:rRNA from 1 species
UGGGGAAUUUUGGACAAUGGGCGAAAGCCUGAUCCAGCAAUGCCGCGUGUGUGAAGAGGGCCUUCGGGUUGUAAAGCACUUUUGUCCGGAAAGAAAUCCUUGGCUCUAAUACAGUCGGGGGAUGACGGUACCGGAAGAAUAAGCACCGGCUAACUACGUGCCAGCAGCCGCGGUAAUACGUAGGGUGCAAGCGUUAAUCGGAAUUACUGGGCGUAAAGCGUGCGCAGGCGGUUUGCUAAGACCGAUGUGAAAUCCCCGGGCUCAACCUGGGAACUGCAUUGGUGACUGGCAGGCUAGAGUAUGGCAGAGGGGGGUAGAAUUCCACGUGUAGCAGUGAAAUGCGUAGAGAUGUGGAGGAAUACCGAUGGCGAAGGCAGCCCCCUGGGCCAAUACUGACGCUCAUGCACGAAAGCGUGGGGAGCAAACAGGAUUAGAUACCCUGGUAGUCCACGCCCUAAAACGAUGUCAACUAGUUGUUGGGGAUUCAUUUCCUUAGUAACGUAGCUAACGCGUGAAGUUGACCGCCUGGGGAGUACGGUCGCAAGAUUAAAACUCAAAGGAAUUGACGGGGUCAUAGCUGUUUCCU